rnacentral:rRNA from 1 species
GGGUUGUAGCUGGCCGGAAGGCAUGUGCACGCCUCGAUCAUCAUCCAUCUCACACCUGUGCACACACUGUAGGUCGGUUUGUGGGGCGAGAUCUUCAUCGAUUUUGCUUUGCGGACCUUCCUAUGUUUUAUCACAAACUACUAGUUUAAAGAAUGUCUACUGCGUGUAACGCAUUUAUAUACAACUUUCAGCAACGGAUCUCUUGGCUCUCGCAUCGAUGAAGAACGCAGCGAAAUGCGAUAAGUAAUGUGAAUUGCAGAAUUCAGUGAAUCAUCGAAUCUUUGAACGCACCUUGCGCUCCUUGGUAUUCCGAGGAGCAUGCCUGUUUGAGUGUCAUGGAAUUCUCAACUUCAUUUGCUUUUGUGAAUGAAGCUUGGACUUGGAGGUAUUGCUGGCCGUACGGUCGGCUCCUCUUGAAUUUAUUAGCUCGAGCCUUUGUGGAUCAGCUUCGGUGUGAUAAUUGUCUACGCCGUUCUGUGAAGCAUAACUAUGGGAUUCGGCUUCCAAUAGUCCUUCACUGGACAAUAUCUUUGACCUUUGACCUCAAAUCAGGUAGGAUUACCCGCUGAACUUAAGCAUAUCAAUAAGCGGAGGAA